AGUGACACACUUGACACUUGCUAGGUUGCUACAAGGUUUUAAUUUUAGUACAUUAGGGGACUUGCCAGUGGAUUUGACUGUGGGCAAUAGCAUAACUUUGCCCAAGGCAAAUCCAUUGGAGGUAUUUGUAAUGCCUCGUUUGGCACCUAUGCUUUACCAAAAUUAGUCGGAGCUCCAAUACGGGCUCCAGACAUCAAGUAAUAAAAAUAAAAUCUAGGAAAAAUUGUUUCAAGUGUUGUUAAUUUUGGUCAAGGAUUCCUCGUAUAAUAUUGGUGAAUAAUGUUUUGUUUUUUAAAAUACCAAAUGGGAAGUUUGUAAAUUAAUAUUCCAAAUUCAUACUAUAUUUUACGGUUUAUUCUCCCCCAAUGAAAGAUAUUCCCCCAUUUUAAUAUGUUUGUUGUCUCAAAUAUUUUUCUUUAUAAUAGUUUAUCUUUUCUAUUUUGCAAUUUAAUUCGAUUUUCUGAUUUUGUUGGUUUGAACACAUGAUUAUAACAUUAUUUUGUUCAAAGUAAUAUACUAUCAAUUGUGGAAAGUUGUAAACAUAAAUUUACAUCUCAAAUAGUCCGUCCUCGUUAAUACUUGAAAUAUAUAACUAAAAAAACUGAUAUUUACAAGUAAUAUAUACUCCACCCUUGAAAUUCCUACAUAUGGUGAAUAAACCAAGAAUUUUGCUAGAGAUUAAUUUAAGGAAAAUAGAAUAUUUUACUAUGAGAAUUAAGAAGAAAAAAAAAGGAUUAAAGUGGGCUGCAAAAAGAAUAAAAAGAGAUUAAAUAAUUUUUCUUCCUUUCAAUUUGUUUUUCUGAUUUUAACUUGAUAGAAGUUAAAAAAAUGAAGAAGAUUUUUCUUAAUCUUGUGAUCUUAAACUAAAAAUAAGUAUAAUUUAUUAAAUGAUUUUAUUGUCUUAAAAAGUCACAUGAAAAGUUAAAAUUAAAAUAUUAAUAAAAAAAUAACUUUUGAUUUAUAAACAAACUAAAAGGGAAAGUAAGAUAAAUAAAAUUAAAAUGAAGGGAGUAUAAAUAAACUUGCUACAAGGUUUUAAUUUUAGUACAUUAGGGGACUUGCUAGUGGAUUUGACUGUGGGCAAUAGCAUAACUUUACCCAAGGCAAAUCCAUUGGAGGUAUUUGUAAUGCCUCGUUUGGCACCUAUGCUUUACCGACAUUAGUUGGAGCUCCAAUAUAGACUCCAGACAUCAGAUGUCAAGUGUUGUUAAUUGUUAUUUUAAUAUGUUUGUUGUCUCGAAUAUUCUUCUUUAUAAUAGUUUAUGUUUUCUAUUUUGCAGUUUAUUUCAAUCUUCUGAUUUUGUUGGUUUGAACA
rnacentral:lncRNA from 1 species